UUUUCCAAAUCUGGAUAGAUUUUCAUGCAAGCAAUGCAAGGUCUUAUAUUCCCUGAUUGUCCCAUUACCAUAUUGUAAAAUUUAGUCCAAACGUUGAAGCACUUGACAAGGAAAUCCUUUGAAACUAAUUAAUAAAUGUAAUGUAAUCUAUUUUCUCCUUAUUCUUCUCAGGAAUGGAUUGUUUGUUUUGUUUUGUUUUGUUUUGUUUUUGCCAAAACUGGAAGCAAACCAGAAUAACAUAGCAACAUUCCUUGAAUGAUUAAUGUUUGGGGAAAAACAAAAAAAAAGUGAAGUGUGACUCAGAGAAGGGAGAGAAGGAGAGAAAGUAAGCCAAAGAGAUGGUGACCUUUGCUGCUAGACACUUAGAAAGCACAAGAACUGUAUCUUGGUUUAUUUGUGACUCCCGAAGCCUGAAUGUGAUACAACUGAAGAAGUACAGCUACUGAAUGAAAAAUGAAUACCUCAACUUGUUCUGCUACAGGUUUUCUUAAACCCAAAUCAGCAAGAUUAUUAUAAAAUGAUGGAAAUAUAUCACUACGGAUAGAUCUCAUGUCUUUUGUUGUUGUUGUUAAAAUGACUUUUUAAAAAUAACUGAAGUGAAAAUAAAGUUAGAUUAUCU
rnacentral:lncRNA from 1 species